GAGCACGUAGGUGGGUUUGUAAGUCAGAUGUGAAAGCCAUCUGUUCAACGGAAGAAUUGCAUCUGAAACUGUGAGUCUUGAGUGUAGGAGGGGAGAAUGGGACUUCUGGUGGAGCGGUGAAAUGCGUAGAUAUCAGAAGGAACGCCGGCGGCGAAAGCGAUUCUCUGGCCUAUUACUGACACUCAGUGUGCGAAAGCUAGGGGAGCAAACGGGAUUAGAUACCCCGGUAGUCCUAGCCGUAAACGAUGGGCACUAAGUAGAGGGG
rnacentral:rRNA from 1 species